CAGCACUGUCCGGUAAGAUGCC
rnacentral:miRNA from 2 species